rnacentral:lncRNA from 1 species
AGAGAUUUGCAUUCCUAACCAUUUAUUCUACAGAUGUUUCUACAGAGCUAUGCUGAAGCCCAAUGAGGCACCGGCUUGCAUCUAGAAGUCACUUCUGCAUAUCCUGGGAACACAGAAAUGGUUGGCUGCCAGAGAAUUCCUGGGCCACUUGGGAGCACUGACUCCCGUGAGGCAGAAGGAGGCCAGGGCAGCACAGAGAGCCGGCCUGUCUGUCCCAGAGAGAAAUGGAGUCCCCAGCCGGCUGGGGAAACUGCAUGCGAAGCUGCAGCUGCAGCUGGGACACUGACUGGAGCCCGAAGACCAAAAUUCUGGCUUUCCUGUAAUUUGUUUUGACACGAUCUCAGGGAAGAGCGCUGCAAGCAAGAGACGAACACUGAGGACAACAGGAACCCUCUGUCAAACCGACAGACGACGAUGUGCCCAUUUCUUGCUGCAUAGGGUAUUCACCUUGCCGGGGCAUUCCGCGGAGACAUGGUUAACCCAAAUCAGACUGACACGUUGGCAGGCCUCUGCAGGGCCACCCUCAGACCUGGGCAAAAGAGGUCCCUGCUCUGGACUCGCCCCAUUAUGGGAACUCCCCUCCUCCUGCUAUACCCCUUCUCAUGGGGCCCUGAGUCCUGAGGACUGAAGGGAUGUGCCUACCCAGAGCCCUCUGUCCCUUUAGACCAUGCUCCAUAUUCUCAGCACGUUGGAAUCCCCUGUCAGUGUCCCUAGCUGUCUUCCAGCAGCUGUAACCUUCUUCCCCGGAUAACUCUUCACCAGAGUAGAUCAGACCCUGGUAGGUGCCCCCCUGGACCUGAGGGAGUGGCCCACGGAUGGCUUCUAUGGAGGAGGGGUGUGGGUGGACCGGUCUCGUAGGCUGGUUAUGUCCACCGCCAUCCACAUGAGGCCUCUGUGGAGGAGCCGGAGGAGGGAUGAGAAGAGAACAGGUUGCAGCCUCAGGGCUGUUUCUCCCUGUGCUGCCUUGCGCUAAUACGAAGUUCUGCAGCAUCGCAGGCCUUUAUAUUCAAACCCUAUCUUCCAGGUUGUGAGGAAGGUCCAUUUAUCAAGGCAAGAGAAAAGAGCGUAUUUUGUCUAACACAGUUAACAUAUUUUAUAAGUUUGAUACCAGUAAAUCUUUAGCCAUAGGGUACGUGGCCUCUGUACUUUUGCUACAAGCCCUGCAAAUAUGAGAGGCAAACCUCCUCCACACACACAUUUUGUUUGAUCGGCAGAGGGUUUUAAAAACUGGAGGAAUUCAUGUAGAAAUUCUGAUUUGGGGCUUUUCUUGGAGAAUUGGAAGCUCUGGCCACACUGGCCCUGAAUUCCAGGGCAGCAUGGAAUGGUUUGCUGU